CAGUAGCCGCGGUAAUACGGAGGGUGCAAGCGUUAAUCGGAAUUACUGGGCGUAAAGCGUGCGUAGGCGGUUCGUUAAGUCUGUUGUGAAAGCCCCGGGCUCAACCUGGGAAUGGCAAUGGAUACUGGCGAGCUAGAGUGUGUCAGAGGAUGGUGGAAUUCCCGGUGUAGCGGUGAAAUGCGUAGAGAUCGGGAGGAACAUCAGUGGCGAAGGCGGCCAUCUGGGACAACACUGACGCUGAGGCACGAAAGCGUGGGGAGCAAACAGGAUUAGAUACCCGCGUAGUCCCUGUCUCUUAUAC
rnacentral:rRNA from 1 species